ensembl:lncRNA
GUUUUCGCGAGCAUCCGGGCCGCGCGCCGCCCGCGUCCUGCCCCGGUUGUCCAGGCUCAGAGAGGCCGCCAAGGGGGCCACGGAGGGUCCGGCCCUGGCGGCCGCUCGCCAUCAACCCCCUCUGGCUGCGAGGAUGUAACAGUCCAGGCCCGGUCCUCGCCUUCUCUUUCUCUUUUUCCUCCCACUUCUGUUCCUCCAUCCUUCGAGGAUGCAGCGCUCACCACCUCCUCAAGUCCCAAACUUGAAUUCUUUACAGAACUAACUACAGAAUGAGUUUACUCCAGGGAAGGAAAGAAGUUGAAAGAAUUGGCCAAAUGUUAUGAGAAAGAAAAAAUAUAUAUAUAUGUAUGUAUGUAUGUAUUAUUUUUAGUAGCAAUAUGGAAUACGAGGAGUGCUUCUCAAACUUUUCAAAUGCAUCCGACGCACCUGGACUCGGACUCAGUGAGGAAAUAGAGGCUCAGAGAAUCAAGCCAUAAGUCCGCAGUGCUACAAUCAGUGACCGUCAGAGCUGUGAUCCACCUCUGGCCUCAUACCUCACAAUGGCCAUCUGGGCAAGAGGAAAAGCUGAGAGCAGUAACACCCUCUAAAAUGACCUUCCCAGAGCAGGACGAGUGUCCUCACUCAGCCUCACGAAAUGGCAAAGUGAAGGAAUAAAACAUUUCAGCUGGAAAAACAAUAGAUAGCCAGAAAUCAACCCCAAUUCUACCAGAAGUCAUAAUUCCAGAAAACAGAACUACAUACACAAACGGCAAUAUAUUCCAAGAUACACAUAAUAAAAUCACCUUGGCAAUGCCUAUGCCCUUGUGGCCAAACCAGGAAGGGAUUGAAUUUAAAAGAGAACCAGUGAAGGCAAAAGGAGAAGUGGGAGGCAGAGGAUGGGAUGGUUAGAUAGUAUCACCGACUUAAUGGACAUGAAUUUGAGCAAACUCCAGGAGACAGUGAAGGACAAGAAAGCCUACUGCAGUCCAUGGGGUGCCAAAGAGUCAAACACUCCUGAGUGACGGAGCACACAGCUGGAGGACUUUUACCCACAUGAGCCCAUCCAAAGAGGUGUGCCUACCCACCUACAAGGUUCAGCUCCCUGCCACAUAGCCAAGAGCCUGAUAGUGGUGAAACGCCAGAGUAAUUACAAUGAAAAUUUCCAAGGGGGAAAGAUCAG